GAUGAACGCUAGCGGCAGGCCUAAUACAUGCAAGUCGAGGGGCAGUCAAUCUUUCGGGAUUGAGCGACCGGCGCACGGGUGCGUAACGCGUAUGCAACCUACCUUGUACUGGGGAAUAGCCCGUGGAAACAUGGAUUAAUACCCCAUAAUUUUAUCUAAUCACCUGGUUGGAUAAUUAAAAGUUUCGACGGUACAAGAUGGGCAUGCGUAUGAUUAGCUAGAUGGUGAGGUAACGGCUCACCAUGGCAACGAUCAUUAGCGGGUCUGAGAGGAUGAUCCGCCACACUGGUACUGAGACACGGACCAG
rnacentral:rRNA from 1 species